rnacentral:rRNA from 1 species
UACAGAGGUCUCAAGCGUUGUUCGGAUUCAUUGGGCGUAAAGGGUGUGUAGGUGGCGCCGUAAGUCGGGUGUGAAAUCUCGGGGCUUAACUCCGAAACUGCAUUCGAUACUGCGGUGCUUGAGGACUGGAGAGGAGACUGGAAUUCAUGGUGUAGCAGUGAAAUGCGUAGAGAUCAUGAGGAAGACCAGUGGCGAAGGCGGGUCUCUGGACAGUUCCUGACACUGAGACACGAAGGCCAGGGGAGCAAAACGGG